CCCACACUCUGUGUGUUAAUGUACAUGCACUUCAGCUGGGCUGAGGAUUUUACCCAACUCUGUUGAUAAAACAGACUAGAAGAUGUUAAAGAACACCAGAUAGUGCUUUAUUCAUUCUGGAAACUCAAUGCCAACUGGAACAUCAGCUUCCAUUUAUCCUCCAGGGAUCACUGGAUGGUGUGAAUAAUACAGAACAAUGUCAUCUCUCUCUGCUUACACUAUAUAGUCUGCAUGACUUCUAUAUUAAUAACACGCACCCUUAAGGAUUA